AUUUGAUCUUCUUUACAGCUGUGUACGAGUCAGCUAAACGCUGCUCCGUUACUCCACUCCAGUAUUAAAUCAUGCCAGAAAUAUGUUGAAAGCAGCGUACAUGCUACUGCUUUUAUCUGGGAAUGGUGUUAGCUUAAUAUGGAAAGCGAUCAUGAUUAGGAGCAACCUUAGACCCUAUAUUUUCUACACAUGGCUGGAGAAUCAUCAAACCGUAACUUCCCCCCAGUAUUUUGAAGGCCAUGGAAAGUAAUGUUUCUUUUACUCAUUGUAACUUAAUCAUAUGCUCUUUUCAUGUUCGUCACAUCUCACAACUUAAGAAAUCGUUGCUACAGUCCUUCACUUUCUUCCUUGUGGUAAAGUAUAUAAAUUACUAUUCUUUCAUAUAUCUCUUUGUAGUUAAAGUAGCAAGAG